rnacentral:rRNA from 1 species
AUCUACAGGCUUAACACAUGCAAGUCGAGGGGCAGCAUGGUCUUAGCUUGCUAAGGCCGAUGGCGACCGGCGCACGGGUGAGUAACACGUAUCCAACCUGCCGUCUACUCUUGGACAGCCUUCUGAAAGGAAGAUUAAUACAAGAUGGCAUCAUGAGUCCGCAUGUUCACAUGAUUAAAGGUAUUCCGGUAGACGAUGGGGAUGCGUUCCAUUAGAUAGUAGGCGGGGUAACGGCCCACCUAGUCUUCGAUGGAUAGGGGUUCUGAGAGGAAGGUCCCCCACAUUGGAACUGAGACACGGUCCAAACUCCUACGGGAGGCAGCAGUGAGGAAUAUUGGUCAAUGGGCGAGAGCCUGAACCAGCCAAGUAGCGUGAAGGAUGACUGCCCUAUGGGUUGUAAACUUCUUUUAUAAAGGAAUAAAGUCGGGUAUGCAUACCCGUUUGCAUGUACUUUAUGAAUAAGGAUCGGCUAACUCCGUGCCAGCAGCCGCGGUAAUACGGAGGAUCCGAGCGUUAUCCGGAUUUAUUGGGUUUAAAGGGAGCGUAGAUGGAUGUUUAAGUCAGUUGUGAAAGUUUGCGGCUCAACCGUAAAAUUGCAGUUGAUACUGGAUAUCUUGAGUGCAGUUGAGGCAGGCGGAAUUCGUGGUGUAGCGGUGAAAUGCUUAGAUAUCACGAAGAACUCCGAUUGCGAAGGCAGCCUGCUAAGCUGCAACUGACAUUGAGGCUCGAAAGUGUGGGUAUCAAACAGGAUUAGAUACCCUGGUAGUCCACACGGUAAACGAUGAAUACUCGCUGUUUGCGAUAUACAGCAAGCGGCCAAGCGAAAGCGUUAAGUAUUCCACCUGGGGAGUACGCCGGCAACGGUGAAACUCAAAGGAAUUGACGGGGGCCCGCACAAGCGGAGGAACAUGUGGUUUAAUUCGAUGAUACGCGAGGAACCUUACCCGGGCUUAAAUUGCAGAUGAAUUACGGUGAAAGCCGUAAGCCGCAAGGCAUCUGUGAAGGUGCUGCAUGGUUGUCGUCAGCUCGUGCCGUGAGGUGUCGGCUUAAGUGCCAUAACGAGCGCAACCCUUGUUGUCAGUUACUAACAGGUUCCGCUGAGGACUCUGACAAGACUGCCAUCGUAAGAUGUGAGGAAGGUGGGGAUGACGUCAAAUCAGCACGGCCCUUACGUCCGGGGCUACACACGUGUUACAAUGGGGGGUACAGAGGGCCGCUACCACGCGAGUGGAUGCCAAUCCCAAAAACCUCUCUCAGUUCGGACUGGAGUCUGCAACCCGACUCCACGAAGCUGGAUUCGCUAGUAAUCGCGCAUCAGCCACGGCGCGGUGAAUACGUUCCCGGGCCUUGUACACACCGCCCGUCAAGCCAUGGGAGCCGGGGGUACCUGAAGUGCGUAACCGCGAGGAGCGCCCUAGGGUAAAACUGGUGACUGGGGCUA